rnacentral:rRNA from 1 species
UACGUAGGUGGCAAGCGUUGUCCGGAUUUACUGGGCGUAAAGAGCGCGCAGGCGGUCGUUUAAGUCGAAUGUGAAAGCCCCCGGCUCAACUGGGGAGGGUCAUUCGAUACUGAUCGACUCGAAGGCAGGAGAGAGAAGUGGAAUUCCCGGUGUAGUGGUGAAAUGCGUAGAUAUCGGGAGGAACACCAGUGGCGAAGGCGACUUCUUGGCCUGUUCUUGACGCUGAGGCGCGGAAAGCUGGGGGGAGCAAACGGG